rnacentral:rRNA from 1 species
UCGAACGGUAACGGGAAGGGAGCUUGCUUUCUUUGCCGACGAGUGGCGGACGGGUGAGUAAUGCUUGGGAAUCUGGCUUAUGGAGGGGGAUAACUACGGGAAACUGUAGCUAAUACCGCGUAAUAUCUAUGGAUUAAAGGGUGGGACUUUCGGGCCACCUGCCAUAAGAUGAGCCCAAGUGGGAUUAGGUAGUUGGUUAGGUAAAGGCUGACCAAGCCGACGAUCUCUAGCUGGUCUGAGAGGAUGACCAGCCACACUGGAACUGAGACACGGUCCAGACUCCUACGGGAGGCAGCAGUGGGGAAUAUUGCACAAUGGGGGGAACCCUGAUGCAGCCAUGCCGCGUGAAUGAAGAAGGCCUUCGGGUUGUAAAGUUCUUUCGGUAGCGAGGAAGGUAUCAAAUUUAAUAGAUUUGGUAAUUGACGUUAACUACAGAA